CUGGACACUUUCAAUUAAAGAUUUUUAUAUAAACCUGUAGAGAUGAUACUGCCAUUGGCGCUAUUAGAAUCCCAUAAGCCUUCUUUGUCGUAUAGUUACAAAUUAUGAAAUACCAAAUUAAAUUUGAAUUUCGCAGGCAGACCCAUCUAGUGCACCUUAAAAUGAUUUAUGAUCUUUAAUAAUGUAGUAGGUAUUUAAUUAAAAUACAGGGUUUUGAUGGUAAUGCAUUUAUUGAACAACAAAUAGGACAUGUACAUGACAUUUAAUUUUAAUUAAUAAAUAAUAUCAUAUAUGACAAUAAUAUAACUACGAAUAUAAUAUGAUUCAGCGCCAACAUAAGUAAUGUAUCACUAAAAACAAUAACUAGACAGUUAAAAUUUAUAUAUUCAACAUACUUAUAAAUAUAUUUUAAGUUAUAUUAAAAAUAUGUGUGUCAAAACAUGUUUUCCUUUUAUGUGGGUAAUAGUAACAUUAAUUUUAAACAUGGAAUCGUUUGUCUGUAGGUAAAUGUAGGUGUGUUCAUUCAAUGUAUAAAAUAGCGAUCACUAUUACCUAUGUAUGUAGUUAGUAGCUUAAAACUUCAAUAUAAAAUAUACUGCAAAGCAGAUGUUUUGAGACUUAUUCUACAAGGACUAUUAUUCAUCUCAUCAUAAAAUUAUAUAUAUAGGCAUUUCUGAAUCUAUUUUUUUUUAUAAAGGCAAUAUGGACGGUACCUGCCAAGCAUCAUAAUUUAUGUUUUCGGAUUACAAAUGCAUACCAAAUGCAUUAAUUAAUAAAACAAAAUUCCUUAAAAGUAACUUAAUAAUUACAACUAUAAUAUCUAGUAUACAAUAAUAAUGAUAAAAAUAUAUUUUAAGCAUCAAAAAUAAAUUUGUAGUAGACCGAUUCGAAUUUUUAUUUCGAGCGUUACGCAGUGAAAAUAAAAAUCUAUACGACUAUUCACUUAACACAUAACUUACAACCAAAAUGUUAUAACAUUGAGAUAGGGAAACUUAACUAAACAAUAAUAGUAUAAUUUAGAGCUGAUUUUUCGAUCGCUGGAUAAACUUUAACUCAUGAAUUAAUUUGAAGUAUUGACAGAUUUCCUAUACAAUAACUGUCAAAGCCUCAACUCCUUAGAUAAAAGUUAUAUGACGAUCGAAAAAUCGUUUUUUUUAAAUUAUAUUUUCUGAGUAGAUUUUCCUUUUGGAAUCGCAAACAAAAUGGAAAAGAGAAGCACCUUUUCACAUCAUCUCAAUACCUCUCACUCUAUAUAAUUACGAGUUUUGUAUAGUUAGUUAGGAUAACAAUAAUCUGAUUGUUAUAAUCUUACCGAAUGGAGGUACGAGAGCUUGUAAAGUGA